CUCUGAAGAUUGUUCUUCUUGGAGUCUUUCUUUGUGAGCCUAGGGCACAGCCGUUUCUGUUCUAAACUCGGCUCCACAUGCUCUCAGGUCAAUCAUGUCACUCUGAUGGAGUAAAGGUCUAAAGUAGGUCAUUGGAUAUUCACACAGUACUUCAUCAGAGCCAUCUUCCAAGGACAGGCCAUAGCACUGAUGAAAUGAGUGAGUCAAGAUUGCUAGUUCUUUGUCAAAUUCAAGCUAUCCUGGAAUAAUCAAAUAUCCAACAUCUACACAGAGAGCUUGGCCUACUGAUGAGAAUUCUUUUUUGGAGUAGGAAUGACAAAGGAAUGCAGCAGCAGGAAACUAGAGGUUUAUGAGCCAGGCAAGUAAAAGCAGUGCUGGGGCUCAGUACUCAUCUUCUAACGUUUUGCAAGACAUCCACUUGCUUAUCUACAGGACUGGAGGAGAAGAUGGAAAGAUCCAAUGCUGAGGUAAUUGCUUUGCCAGACUUUAUAGUCUUCUGACCACACUUUAAGUUCUAAAACACAAAAAUCAUGUGGAAAAGAAUCUUUACAGAUGAUUAAGUGGUCUGAAGUCUCAUGGAUGCAUUCAGAUAUUAUGGGAGUCAUUAACAUGUUAAAAUGAUAAAGAAAAUGUCAUUAAUUUCUCCUGGAGAUACAGGAUUCUAAAAUGAUGGUAGUAUGUUCCUAUUAUACAGUUUAUUUCAUAUUUUUAUUGUGUGAAAAUGCACAUCCCCAGAAUUUUACACACAAAUUGGUGCCUCAUGAUUCUUCCUUCCACGUGAAAGAAAGCAAUAAUUGAGCCAUAUUUUCAGUAAGUUGAGCUCCGUAGAUAUAUAUCUGUACUUACGUGUGCAAAUCCCAAAGCUAUCCUUGUAGCCAAAUGUUUUGAUGUCUGUUACUUGAAUGUAAAUGUUGCAGACAGGGGUAAAAACACAAGUAUGUUUUGUGCCAAAUUAUAAGUCUCAGUUUCCUGGGAAAUUUGAGCGUAUGAAUUCAAAUUUAUAUGAACAAUAUAUCCAUUGAUAUGUUAUCUCUCUUUGGGCAUAUUCAAGUGAGAGACACUGGCUCUGCAGUUGAGAAGCUCCUUAUCAUUUAAAUGAUCAGGCACCCAAACGUAAUUUUCUGUCUUGAAACACUGCGGUGUCAUUGCACUCAUUCCCUGAACCACAAAAGAUGUGUUGGAUUGCUUCAGGCAGCAUAUUUUGCAGGGACUCCUCAGCAUGCUCUUCUUCUUGCAGACCUGUUACACGUUAUCACUCUGGUUACAGGGAAGCAAUAAGAAAAGAGUAAGCUUUGCAAAUAGACGUAUCUGACACACAGCUCUCCCUCUGUUAUAUGGAAAACUUUGUUUGCCAGUUUUCAUUUUGCAUGAAGUUCCUCCUCAGCAUAAAAUAUCUUGCUCCAGCCUUGCAGAGUGAGGGAAAUGUGGACACAUUCUCUUUAAAGUUAUAAAGUUCGUUCGUAACAGUUGGUGGUACUCCCAGCUCUUCCACAGGAUCACAGAAUCAUUUGGGUUGGAAGGAGCCUUCAAAGGCCAUCUAGUCCAACUGCCCAGCAGCAGGACACCUGUAGUUAGGGCACUAGCUUCCCAGAGCUGCUCUUCUUGCCUGUCAGGGCAGACAGGUUCCUCUAUAUAAUAUGUCAGCUGAUAUAGAUUGUGGCAAAAGUUACCUCAGCUUUCUGGCUAAAGAAUAAGCAAAAAGCUGUCCACUUUCCUGGCGAAAUUCAAGCUGUGCAAACAGACCUUUUUUCUUGCAGCGAUUUCUGCUGACACCUUUCUGACAAAGGAGGAUGGCACAGGAUGAGGAGGAGCACCUGGUGCCUUCUCCAUUCUAACUUGCACACUGUCAUUAGAGAGUAAUUUUAUAAACAAAGAUUUUUCAGGGUGUAUUUCAGAUUUGCAAAGCAUGGUAUUAUCUCCAUCCUCCUUCUAGUCACGUGUUCUGCCCUUUGGAAAGACUGCACACUGUCUACUGUUGACAUCUGUUUUGCAUUUCAAUACAUGAUCAGAAAUGUAAAAAGGAGGAUUUUUGAAUGGGGACGGUUCCCACCUUCAGCUGACUUUCCAGAAUGCAGUGGAAUUGACCGACUUCGUCUCUCAGAGCAGGAGAGAGCACUGCCAUCUAUCGACUGGGUCGCUGCAUAACGCUUCUUCUGACAUUUAAAGUGUUUUGGCAGUUUGGGAAUGCUUCAGAACACCCAGUAGCGUUCCUAAGUUCCUGCUUUGAUGCACCAUGCUUCGGUGACACGUUCCCGAGAUAGAAAAUAGCUACUGCCCUUAACUCAAGUGUGAUGCUUUUAAGCACUGCAAUCUAAAACAUGGGGCAGGGGAGAAAAAAGGCCUUUCAGUUAUUUCUUCCCAAUAUUCGACUUAGGUCCUUUCUGGUAUUUGACUUUGUAGCUAAAUAACAAAAUGCAGAUGCAUAUAAUAAACAGAAUUAUCUACUCUCACACAUAAAUUUUGUUUACUAAGCAGAUGGAAGCAAGGCCCCUUUGUUUCCUCUUGUACACAUCUGGACACUUCAUAGAAUCAUAGAAUUGCUCAGAUUGGAGAAGACCUUAAAGAUCAGUGAGUCCAACCACGAGCCAACCAUACUUCCCGAACUAACAACCCUCUGCUAAAUCAUGUCCCUGAGCACCACAUCCAAAUGCUUUUUAAACGCAUCCAGGGAUGGUGACUCAACCACCUCCCUGGGGAGCC